GCGACCCCAGGUCAGGCGGGAUGGCCCGCUGA
rnacentral:rRNA from 1 species